GAUGAACGCUAGCGGCAGGCCUAAUACAUGCAAGUCGAACGGGAUUAAGAGGCUUGCUUCUUAUGAGAGUGGCGCACGGGUGCGUAACACGUAUGCAACCUACCUUUAACUGGGGGAUAGCCUUCCGAAAGGAAGAUUAAUACCGCAUAACAUAAUAGAGUGGCAUCACUAUAUUAUCAAACUAUUUGGGUUAAAGAUGGGCAUGCGUCCGAUUAGCUAGUUGGUACGGUAACGGCGUACCAAGGCAACGAUCGGUAGGGGAUCUGAGAGGAUGGCCCCCCACACUGGUACGGAGACACGGAACAGACUCCUACGGGAGGCAGCAGUAAGGAAUAUUGGUCAAUGGACGGAAGUCUGAACCAGCCAUGCCGCGUGCAGGAAGACGGUCCUCUGGAUUGUAAACUGCUUUUGUUAGGGAAGAAACUUCCGUACGUGUACGGGACUGACGGUACCUAAAGAAUAAGGAUCGGCUAACUCCGUGCCAGCAGCCGCGGUAA
rnacentral:rRNA from 1 species